UUGUCAGAACCAACGACAGUCUAAAAUGGUUGGAACCGAACCGGUUGGAACAUGCUGGAAGUCCGACUCCUAACCGGAACAAACAAAUUGAUAACUAAUGUGUUAAACGUCCAGAAACACCGCCAAAAACAUUGGCCACAGUUUGUUUCGCAUUCAUAAUCCAGUGUACUACAAACAGUUCAGUCAAGUCGCCUAGCGACCGCUAGGAACGGACAUGAUGAGGGGUUGCCGCUGCUGUUGCUAGGAUUCAGUUGGUCAGUUGUCAGUUCUGGAGUCUGAACUUGGGUUUCCUGCUCUGCUGUAGCAGUUUGGAAGACUUACUCCUCUCCCACAGCUCAAAAGUAACAGCAUAAAGUGGUCAAGGUCCCAUCUGUGGCUGCCAACCUUGGCCGGAGCAUUGACGUUGCCGGUGUGGUAGCCAAUCUGCAGGGAGCCGAGGACCGCCGCCAGGAUGGAGAUCAGGAGUGUGGAUGUCAGAUGGCUCUGCAACAGUGUCGAGGAUCUCACCAAUGUUCCUGAGAGUCGUACGUUGAUGCCGUCUUCAUCCCUGAGUUUCAGGGGCUGUUUAUCCUGGCAGCAGGGCCCAGGGUCCGAGAGGCCUGACGUUAUGCCCGCUCCGAGCCACUGUUCUCCAGGCGCAGCGGGCCGGUGCCAGCGUAAACACAUGACAUCAGCGCUAUGUGGCGCUGAACCGACCCAGUGGCCAGAGUCAACAGCACCAACGGGACUAAUAAUUGCUUAAUGGGGGGGAUCCCGACGGCUCGAAAAAAGAGAUGGAGAGGAGAAGGAGAUGGAACCACUAUAGGCAAAAAGGUAUGAUAAUUCCUCUGUAGCGUUUGUUGGUUCUUGGUCAUUUCAGAGUUUUUCAACCAAUUUCUUGAUGUCAGGUCAAAUUGGAAACAAGACAAAGAUGUCACAGAAAUAAUUUAAAGCCAAAAUGCCAAACAUGAUCUGAUUUCACUUGAAAAUGUGAGGGUUUGCUGCUUUAUGUAUAUAUGAUAAUACAUUUAUUAAAUAUAU